GUUGUAUGGUUAAGUGACUAAGCGUACACGGUGGAUGCCUUGGCAGUCAGAGGCGAUGAAGGACGUAUUAACUUGCGAUAAGCGUAGAUUAGGCAGUAAAAGCCACUUGAGUCUACGAUUUCCGAAUGGGGAAACCCACGUGCAUAAGCACGUAUCGUUACGUAAAUACAUAGCGUAACGAGGCGAACCGGGGGAACUGAAACAUCUAAGUACCCCGAGGAAGAGAAAUCAAUUGAGAUUCCGGCAGUAGCGGCGAGCGAACCCGGAUUAGCCCUUAAGCAGCAUUAGCGUUAGGUGAAGGUACUGGAAAGUACAGCGAUACAGGGUGAUAGCCCCGUAACCGACAACGCUUUUACUGUGAAAUCGAGUAGGACGGGACACGUGAUAUCCUGUUUGAACAUGGGGGGACCAUCCUCCAAGGCUAAAUACUCCUGACUGACCGAUAGUGAACCAGUACCGUGAGGGAAAGGCGAAAAGAACCCCUGUGAGGG
rnacentral:rRNA from 1 species